rnacentral:rRNA from 1 species
GACGAACGCUGGCGGCGUGCUUAACACAUGCAAGUCGAGCGGAGCGGCGAACGGGUGAGUAACGCGUGAGUAACUGCCCCCCUCUCUGGGGUCACAGUUGGAAACGGCUGCUAAUACCGGAUAGUGGGGGAUGACUCGCGUCCUAUCAGCAUGUUGGUGGGGUAGUGGCCUACCAAGGCGACGACGGGUAGCCGGCCUGAGAGGGUGACCGGCCACAUUGAGCUGAGCAACGGCCCAGACGCGUACGGGGGGCAGCAGUGGGGGAUAUUGCACAAUGGGCGAUAGCCUGAUGCAGCGAUGCGCGUGGGGGAUUCAGGCUUUCGGGUUGUAAACCUCUUGCGCUAUCGAAAGGGUAGGUGGAGAAGAAGCGCCGGCUAACUACGUGCCAGCAGCCGCGGUAAUAC